rnacentral:rRNA from 1 species
GAGUUUGAUCAUGGCUCAGGACGAACGCUGGCGGCAUGCCUAAUACAUGCAAGUCGAACGAGGUUUCCUUAAUGAUAGUUGGUGCUUGCAUUAAUUUGACUUAAGAUCUAACCGAGUGGCGAACUGGUGAGUAACACGUGGGGAACCUGCCCUUAAGUAGGGGAUAACAUUUGGAAACAAAUGCUAAUACCGUAUAACAACAUAAACCACAUGGUUUAUGUUUGAAAGAUGGCUCUGCUAUCGCUUUUGGAUGGACCCGCGGCGUAUUAGCUAGUUGGUGAGAUAAUGGCUCACCAAGGCGAUGAUACGUAGCCGACCUGAGAGGGUAAUCGGCCACAUUGGAACUGAGACACGGUCCAGACUCCUACGGGAGGCAGCAGUAGGGAAUCUUUCACAAUGGACGAAAGUCUGAUGAAGCAAUGCCGCGUGAGUGAAGAAGGGCUGCCGCUUGUAAAGCUCUUUCGU